CCAAUUCCAGAAAACACCUAUCCAAAUCCACCAUCGGGCUAGGCGGCAGAAGCAUGUUGGUCGUGGAGGGAGCCGCCGCCGGGGACUCCGGCUAGCCGAUGUUGAUCCCUAGGGAGUGGGCCGUGGGGAUGGCUGGGUCCACCAAGAGGUCUCUCACGGCCUCGCCUGGCGGGAUUGGACCGGUGGCCAGAUCACCAGCGCGGGAGCUCCAUGUGAAGCGUCCUGUUUGUGUGGACAGCCUAUUCGGCCCCCUCAUCUCCGUGCGGUUACGAGGAUCUGAGGAAUCACCCUGUUACCUGGAUCUCAAGUGCCAGGUCAAGAACAGGUACCGCAGGAUGAGGCGCAUGGAGGAUGCUGCGAUGAGUUCGUGAGAGAGAUCUAGGCCGUCGUCUCCCAGUCAACUUUGGAUUGCUGGAUCGUUGCCUCCUUAUAUGUAAUUAUUUAUUUUGUAUAGAACUCCUAUUAUAUAGUAAAGUUGUAACAUUC